rnacentral:antisense_RNA from 1 species
ACUUUGCUGGCAGCAGAUCUUAGCGGAGAGAAGCACGGGGAGGGUGACGUGUGGUACAGAGCAGGAACGAUGGCUCUGCGCGCGAUAGCAGCAGACAAAGGUUGCCAUGGCAAGCCUGCUCGGGAGCAUGCCACGUAGACCGAUGCCCACAAGUCCACCUCGCUCCAAGUCACAGACAAGGUCCCUUGUGUAUAGGUACCGUGUCCCCACCCCGGGAUCCCACCACGGCCAGGACCCCUUCCCGAGGUGCAUCCGGACACUCACCCAGGAGAAGCCGAUGCAGCCAAUGGCCCCGCACAGCAUGUCUGCUAGCAUGGCCGGGUACGAGCUGGCAGUGGGGAAGUAGGCGAAGAAGUAGGGGCUGUGCCAGUGCGUCACCUGCAUGGGAGGACGGAGCAGCUGCUGAGGAACGAGGAAAGCCAGGCCUCAAGAGAGCAGGGGACCCAGGUACCCCCAUGGCCCCCAGCUGCCAGAUGCAGCCAGACCCAGAGUUAGGUCUGGCUCAGAAUCCCAGCAGCAGAGGAUAUGCUCUAUCGGGCUUGGCUGCUCUGCUCUGAAUGGAGGACGGAACCGAUAAAGACAAAGCGCCCGGGGCCCAGGAGAGUAAGAGCAGCCCUGCGGCUGACUAGCCCCUCAGCACCUGGAGGGCCCAUGUGCCUUUGUCUCUCUCCCCUUCCUGUGGUUUCUGGGCUGGAAAAGGACAGAAGCGAUUCUUGAUUAGGUACAGAUGUGUGCUCUUUUGCUUCACUCUCCGCUGAUAUUCACAGCAACUUUUGAGAUGGCUGGGCCUGCACUUGCUCCGCUCACGGCUCGAGAGCUCACCUGGUUUCCUGUGAUCACACAGCCAGCAGCUCGUGGGCUGCAGCUCCCACCCAGGGACCCUGCCCAACGCCUGUGCAUUUCCCAGCUCAGCUCUGCGCAGUGAAUACCCCCAUAGAAGGAAGCAGAAAGACUUCAAAUCCUCCCUCAGUCUCCUGUACUCCCCACUGCCUGACAUUUAGCCACUCCUCUCCUGAAGCGUUUUAUGCUGAACAGCUUAGUGUAUUUGCACAAUUUCUAGCAAGAACCUGAAUCCCGUUCUUUGCUCAAAGCAUAAAUGCCAAGUGAGAAUCCCCUGGAAGAAGAAAUGUGAGCAGUGUGGUGAGAGAGGCGCUCAGCUACUGAGAAACCGGUCCCUGAGGUCCAGGGCCUGAAGCCUAGCCUCAACCCAUGAUCAGUGGCCUGUAACCUUGGCUGACCUUAUGCCUUCCCAAGGCCUUGGCAUUCUGUCUGGAUUGAGGGAGUGGGUCUUGAUGGUCCCGGACCCCUCUUCUAUGAAAAUCAUAUGUCGUUGCUCAUAGGCCUUACAACCACAGACGUGCUGGGUCGUGGCAGCGAUCAACCAGUGGAGCCCACGGAGAUUUUCCCUGCCUGGACUCUGCACAUUGUUGCAUGGAAGGGCAGGUUUGGCCACCCUCAUAAACAUUCCUGAUCUAGAAACUGGCCGGGCUGCAACUCCCACCCGGACCCUGACUAGGCCAGAGCCACUUUAACCAACAGGCUUUUAGGUGAACUCCUUGGCAGAGAAGAUCUACCGUGGAAGCGUAAAGCUGAAGGGAAGUUUCUCUGAGCUCCAACUCUGCUGCCCUGUGAGUGAGUAUCGGAGACAGCAGCCAGUCCCGUUGAUUUCUGCCCUCUGUGUACCCCAGGCCUACUGGCUUCAGAGAAAGAGGGCUGCCUUGGUGGGCAGUACCACGCUGCCCACUCUCAAAUAAACUAAAUAAAACGUUUCUUCCAC